rnacentral:misc_RNA from 1 species
GAUGAAGAACGUAGCAAAAUGCGAUAAGUAAUGUGAAUUGCAGAAUUCAGUGAAUCAUCGAAUCUUUGAACGCACAUUGCGCCCGCUGGUAUUCCGGCGGGCAUGCCUGUUCGAGCGUCAUUUCAACCCUCAAGCCCCCGGGUUUGGUGUUGGGGAUCGGCUCUGCCCUUCUGGGCGGUGCCGCCCCCGAAAUACAUUGGCGGUCUCGCUGCAGCCUCCAUUGCGUAGUAGCUAACACCUCGCUACUGGAACGCGGCGCGGCCAUGCCGUAAAACCCCAACUUCUGAAUGUUGACCUCGGAUCAGGUAGGAAUACCCGCUGAACUUAAGCAUAUCAAUAAGCGGAGGA